CCUGGUUGAUCCUGCCAGUAGUCAUAUGCUUGUCUCAAAGAUUAAGCCAUGCAUGUGUAAGUACAGGCCGACUUAAGGCGAAACCGCGGACGGCUCAUUAAAUCAGAUAUAACUCAUUGGAUCUCUGCUGAACCGCAUUACUUGGAUAACUGUGGUAAUUCUAGAGCUAAUACAUGCCUUUGUAGUCUCCGACCGCGAGGGAGGAGCGCUUUUAUUAGACCAAAACCCUCGGCAGCCGGUUCCCGCAAGGGGCCGGCCGCACACAUCUUGGUGAAUCAGAAUAACUUUUGCCGAGCGCACGACCCCUCCCGUAACCCGGGUUGGGUCGGCGCCGCGUCCUGCAGGCGUCUGCCUUAUCAGCUCUCGAUUGUAGGUUAAACGCCUACAAUGGCUAUCACGGGUAACGGGGAAUCAGGGUUCGAUUCCGGAGAGGGAGCCUGAGAAACGGCUACCACAUCUAAGGAAGGCAGCAGGCGCGCAAAUUACCCACUCCCGGCACGGGGAGGUAGUGACGAAAAAUACUGUUGCGAGCCCCGAACGGGGCCUCGCAAUUGGAAUGAGUACACUUUAAAUCCUUGUACGAGGAUCGAGUGGAGGGCAAGUCUGGUGCCAGCCGCCGCGGUAAUUCCAGCUCCACUAGCGUAUAUUAAAGUUGUUGCGGUUGAAACGCUCGUAGUUUGACUUCUGCUCCGGACCGGCGGUCCGCCUUAGCGGCGGCUACUGCCGGGUUCCGAGCUGUGUCCCCGCCGGCGCACAUGGGGUUUUUAUGCCCUUAACCGGGUGUCCCCUUGUGGCCGGCACGUUUACUUUGAAAAAAUUAGAGUGCUCAGAGCAGGCUGGUUUUUGCUUACAGCCCGAAUGGUCGUGCAUGGAAUGAUGGAACAGGACCUCGGUUCUAUUUUGUCGGUUUUUCGGAACCCGAGGUAAUGAUUAAUAGAAGCAGACGGGGGCAUUCGUACUGCGACGCUAGAGGUGAAAUUCUUAGACCGUCGCAUGACGACCUACUGCGAAAGCAUCUGCCAAGGAUGUUUUCAUUGAUCAAGAACGAAAGUUAGAGGUUCGAAGGCGAUCAGAUACCGCCCUAGUUCUAACCUUAAACGAUGCUGACUAGCGAUCCGCCGCAGUUAUUCCCAUGACCCGGCGGGUAGCUUCCGGGAAACCAAAGUCUUUGAGUUCCGGGGAAGUAUGGUUGCAAAGCUGAAACUUAAAGGAAUUGACGGAAGGGCACCACCAGGAGUGGAGCCUGCGGCUCAAUUUGACUCAACACGGGGAAACUCACCAGGCCAGGACACCGGAAGGAUUGACAGAAUGAAGGCUCUUUCUCGAUUCGGUGGGUGGUGGUGCAUGGCCGUUCUUAGUUGGUGGAGUGAUCUGUCUGGUUAAUUCCGAUAACGAACGAGACUCUAGCCUGCUAAAUAGUCGACGGAUCUCAACCCCGUUGCCCCCGUUGUCGUUCGCGGCGAUGCGGGGCGCGGGUUCCCCGAAACCCGGUCGUCGUGCGGGCCUCCACCGUCGGUCGGUUAGCGCCGCCGGCGGCGCGCCCCGCGGCGCCGGAAACUGGCGUCCGCUUCGCAGUCUUCUUCUUAGAGGGAUAAGCGGCAGCAAAAAAUAUACUAGCCGCACGAGAGUUUGAGCCAUAACAGGUCUGUGAUGCCCUUAGAUGUUCUGGGCCGCACGCGCGCUACAAUGGAGAGUUCAGCGAGCUGGCCCUGCUCCGAGAGGAGCGGGUAACCUCGUGAAAGCUGUCCUUAAAGGGGAUUGGGGCUUGCAAAUGUUCCCCAUGAACGAGGAAUUCCCAGUAGGCGCAAUUCACCAGAUUGCGCCGAUUUAGUCCCUGCCCUUUGUACACACCGCCCGUCGCUACUACCGAUUGAAUGGUCUAGUGAGGGCACCGGACUGGCGCCCUUGGAGCCGCUACCGCCUCGGCGGGCAGCGCCCUCGGGUCGACGGAAAGGUGUCCAAGCUGGGUCAUUUAGAGGAAGUAAAAGUCGUAACAAGGUUUCCGUAGGUGAACCUGCGGAAG
rnacentral:rRNA from 1 species